rnacentral:rRNA from 1 species
GACGAACGCUGGCGGCGUGCUUAACACAUGCAAGUCGAACGAAGAGCGAUGGAAGCUUGCUUCUAUCAAUCUUAGUGGCGAACGGGUGAGUAACGCGUAAUCAACCUGCCCUUCAGAGGGGGACAACAGUUGGAAACGACUGCUAAUACCGCAUACGAUCUAAUCUCGGCAUCGAGGAUAGAUGAAAGGUGGCCUCUACAUGUAAGCUAUCACUGAAGGAGGGGAUUGCGUCUGAUUAGCUAGUUGGAGGGGUAACGGCCCACCAAGGCGAUGAUCAGUAGCCGGUCUGAGAGGAUGAACGGCCACAGUGGGACGGAGACGCGGCCCAGACUCCUACGGGAGGCAGCAGUGGGGAAUCUUCCGCAAUGGACGAAAGUCUGACGGAGCAACGCCGCGUGAGUGAUGACGGCCUUCGGGUUGUAAAGCUCUGUUAAUCGGGACGAAAGGCCUUCUUGCGAAUAGUGAGAAGGAUUGACGGUACCGGAAUAGAAAGCCACGGCUAACUACGUG